CCUACGGGAGGCUGCAGUGGGGAAUAUUGCACAAUGGGCGCAAGCCUGAUGCAGCCAUGCCGCGUGUGUGAAGAAGGCCUUCGGGUUGUAAAGCACUUUCAGCGGGGAGGAAGGCGUUAAGGUUAAUAACCUUGGCGAUUUACGUUACCCGCAGAAGAAGCACCGGCUAACUCCGUGCCAGCAGCCGCGGUAAUACGGAGGGUGCAAGCGCUAAUCGGAAUGAGUGGGCGUAAAGCGCACGCAGGCGGUCUGUGAAGUCGGAUGUGAAAUCCGCGGGCACAACCUGGGAACUGCAUUCGAAACUGGUAGGCUAGAGUGUUGUAGAGGGAUGUAGAAUGCCAGGUGUAGCGGUGAAAUGCGUAGAGAUCUGGAGGAAUACCGAUGGCGAAGGCGGCCCCCUGGACAAAGACUGACGCUCAGGUGCGAAAGCGUGGGGAGCAAACAGGAUUAGAUACCCUUGUAGUC
rnacentral:rRNA from 1 species